AAGAUUUCCUAAAUGCUGAGGAAGAAAUGCAGUAAAUGUGUUUCUUAAAGUCUUACCAGCUUCAGUGAGAAGAGAACAGUCAAAUCAUAGAUUGGUUGCUGUCCAGCCCAGCAUUAUAUUUCCUAGCCCUUUUUCUUCUAAGCACGGCCCCAGGAAUGGUUCCUGACAAGAGUAUGUGUACAGAAAUGCCCUGCAGCACAUCCAGACCACCAAGAUUUGGAUGAAGGUAAUGGAAUGCGAAGAAUGCACAGUCACAGCUGGAAGCAUCAUGGCAUGUUCUAGAAACAAGCGCCUGAAUAAUGUGAGAGGGAGACACCUUUAAGUAACUCAGCCCUUUAUUUAUGGACUUUGACUUGUCUUGGACUCACCUUGGUUGGCCAUUUUAUGUCU